GGAGACCUGGCCGAGCGGUCGAAGGCACUUCCCUGCUAAGGAAGCAUGCGGGCUUAACCCUGCAUCUAGGGUUCGAAUCCCUAGGUCUCCGCCA
rnacentral:tRNA from 1 species